rnacentral:rRNA from 1 species
GAUGAACGCUGGCGGCGUGCCUAAUACAUGCAAGUCGAGCGAACGGACGAGAAGCUUGCUUCUCUGAUGUUAGCGGCGGACGGGUGAGUAACACGUGGAUAACCUACCUAUAAGACUGGGAUAACUUCGGGAAACCGUAGCUAAUACCGGAUAAUAUUUUGAACCGCAUGGUUCAAAAGUGAAAGACGGUCUUGCUGUCACUUAUAGAUGGAUCCGCGCUGCAUUAGCUAGUUGGUAAGGUAACGGCUUACCAAGGCAACGAUGCAUAGCCGACCUGAGAGGGUGAUCGGCCACACUGGAACUGAGACACGGUCCAGACUCCUACGGGAGGCAGCAGUAGGGAAUCUUCCGCAAUGGGCGAAAGCCUGACGGAGCAACGCCGCUUGAGUGAUGAAGGUCUUCGGAUCGUAAAACUCUGUUAUUAGGGAAGAACAUAUGUGUAAGUAACUGUGCACAUCUUGACGGUACCUAAUCAGAAAGCCACGGCUAACUACGUG